rnacentral:rRNA from 1 species
GACGAACGCUGGCGGCGUGCUUAACACAUGCAAGUCGAACGGAAAGGCCCUGCUUUUGUGGGGUGGUGGAGUGGCGGACGGGUGAGUAACACGUGAGUACCCUGCCCUUGACUUUGGGAUAACUUAAGGAAACUGGGGCUAAUACCGGAUAGGAGCUCCUGCUGCAGGGUGGGGGUUGGAAAGUUUCGGCGGUUGGGGAUGGACUCGCGUCUUAUCAGCUUGUUGGUGGGGUAGUGGCUUAGCAAGGCUAUGACGGGUUGCAUGCCUGAGAGGGGGGCCGGCCCCGCUGGGCCUGGGAUGCGACCCAGACUCGUACGCGAGGCAGGGGUGGAGAAUGGAGCAUAAGGGGCUGAGGCCAGGUGUGACAACGCCGCGUCGGGGGAGACGUGCAGCCGGUAGUAAUGCGAUUUCGCCUUUCACGAAACGAUAGUGACAGUAACGGGUGAAGAAGCACCGGCUAACUCCGUG